GUUCAAGCAAUUCUCCUGCCUCAGCCUCCCAAUGUAAGAGACUUAAAUGAAUAUGACUGUCACACAAAAAAGGUGUGUCCUACUUCAACACUCAACAUUCAAGAAAUAUUUGUCAAAGACCUGCUGUAAGCCAGAUUAAAAUUUAAAUAGACUCAUGAAGCUAGUGGCUUCCACACUGGACAGCACAGCUUUAAAACAUGGCAGGUGGCCUUUAUUUUCAUCGGAAGACAAUAGACCCACAGAAAAACCAAGUCAAUCAUAUGGAAGUAGACGACAAUUCAA